GUGUCAGCCGCCGCGGUAAUACGUAGGGUGCGAGCGUUGUCCGGAAUUAUUGGGCGUAAAGGGCUCGUAGGCGGUUUGUCGCGUCGGGAGUGAAAUCCACUGGCUUAACUGGUGGCUUGCUUUCGAUACGGGCAGACUGGAGGUAUGCAGGGGAGAACGGAAUUCCUGGUGUAGCGGUGAAAUGCGCAGAUAUCAGGAGGAACACCGGUGGCGAAGGCGGUUCUCUGGGCAUGUCCUGACGCUGAGGAGCGAAAGUGUGGGGAGCGAACAGGAUUAGAAACCCCCGUAGUCC
rnacentral:rRNA from 1 species